GCCAGUGUGGAAUAGUGGUUUGAAGGUUGGACUACAACUCUGGAGAUCAAGGUUCGAUUCCCAGCUCGGCCA
rnacentral:tRNA from 1 species